rnacentral:rRNA from 1 species
CCUACGGGCGGCAGCAGUAGGGAAUCUUCCACAAUGGACGAAAGUCUGAUGGAGUAACGCCGCGUGAGUGAAGAAGGGUUUCGGCUCGUAAAGCUUUGUUGGUAGUGAAGAAAGAUAGAGUUCGUAACUGGCCUCUAUUUGACGGUAAUUACUUAGCAUGUCCCGGCUAACUACGUGCCAGCAGCCGCGGUAAUACGUAGGUGGCAAGCGUUGUCCGGAUUUAUUGGGCGUAAAGCGAGUGCAGGCGGUCCAAUAAGUCUGAUGUGAAAGCCUUCGGCUCAACCGGAGAAUUGCAUCCGAAACUGUUGAACUUGAGUGCAGAAGAGGAGGGUGGAACUCCAUGUGUAGCGGUGGAAUGCGUAGAUAUAUGGAAGAACCCCCAUGGCGAAGGCAGCUCACUGGUCUGCAACUGACGCUGAGGCUCGAAAGCAUGGGUAGCGAACAGGAUUAGAUACCCCAGUAGUC